rnacentral:rRNA from 1 species
UACAGAGGGUGCGAGCGUUGUUCGGAAUUACUGGGCGUAAAGCGUGCGCAGGCGGUUGUGCAAGACAGAGGUGAAAUCCCCGGGCUUAACCUGGGAAUGGCCUUUGUGACUGCACGGCUAGAGUGUGUCAGAGGGGGGUAGAAUUCCACGUGUAGCAGUGAAAUGCGUAGAUAUGUGGAGGAAUACCGAUGGCGAAGGCAGCCCCCUGGGAUAACACUGACGCUCAUGCACGAAAGCGUGGGGAGCAAACAGG